GCCUCUCUCUUUCUUCGUGCCUAAUACAUGCAAGUAGAACGCACAGUUUAUACCGUAGCUUGCUACACCAUAGACUGUGAGUUGCGAACGGGUGAGUAACGCGUAGGUAACCUGCCUGGUAGCGGGGGAUAACUAUUGGAAACGAUAGCUAAUACCGCAUAAUAUUGAUUAUUGCAUGAUAAUUAAUUGAAAGGUGCAAUUGCACCACUACCAGAUGGACCUGCGUUGUAUUAGCUAGUAGGUGAGGUAACGGCUCACCUAGGCGACGAUACAUAGCCGACCUGAGAGGGUGAUCGGCCACACUGGGACUGAGACACGGCCCAGACUCCUACGGGAGGCAGCAGUAGGGAAUCUUCGGCAAUGGACGAAAGUCUGACCGAGCAACGCCGCGUGAGUGAAGAAGGUUUUCGGAUCGUAAAGCUCUGUUGUAAGAGAAGAACGGGUGUGAGAGUGGAAAGUUCACACUGUGACGGUAUCUUACCAGAAAGGGACGGCUAACUACGUG
rnacentral:rRNA from 1 species